rnacentral:lncRNA from 1 species
AUCUUAUAGAGAGUACUGCAGUUGCCCAAUCAAACUUCAGCAAAUUUGCCAUGACUAUCCCUGAGAUCAAAACUGGCAGUGGCAUAUUUGCAUUCAACCUCACGUGGAAUGAUAUAAAAGAUUUGACCCGUAAGUGAUCUUAAGUUCUGUAGCCGUUUACUAUUCAAUUAGGUAAAAUGUUCUUCUAUAUUUCUGUAUUUGCAUGGAGUUAAUCCAGACUUGUCAAAGCUUAGUUGACUGAUACUUUCAAUUAGCCAAAAUUUAGAAUGAGAUAUAUGCACAUUGAUACAAGUCCUGUGUUGGGAACAAAGAGGAAAUUAGCUUACAUAUUCACUUUAUAAAGAGCAAUCAUGUCUCACUGAUAAACUAUCACGGCAAAAAUUUCCCUUUCAUAUUGAAAAUGUUACAACAAAUAUUGACAUUUUUCUCUUCUCUAUUUUCCCUGCAGCCUCAAUAUUGAAUCCUUUUGCAAAAUACAGACUGUUCAGGAAUCCAAAAUCUAAGAAUUCCGGGAGAUUGACGUCGUUAUCACAUUUCUUGUCCUUGACAAAAAAUCAGACUUCUCUAUCUGGUAUCUCUAUCAGUGUUGAGGUGCGUUCUUUCAUACCUGUUAAUUGAUUUAUUAUAUCUGCUGUUAUUUGAACAUUUAGUCUUUUUUGUAAGAAUAAAGCAUGUUUUUUUGAAGAUGGCUCAGGGUCACUUAGUUUAGGGUUUAGGGUUUAAUAAUUCUUAUGAUUGAUUUCAUCGUCAAAGUAAAUACUUCUUUCACUCUUCUUCAGCAUGAUUUUUUUUCUACCAAGUAAAGAAUAUUGUUUUUUUUAUGGUGAUGAAACAUAAAUAAUUGUUGUAUUUUCGAGUUUCAUCUUCCAUUUACUAACAUGCAUGUUUUGUUGUUUUUCAUGUUAUCAGAAUGCAGCCUAUCUUGCUGAAAAGCAAGGAUUAAGUGUGAUUGAUGCAGUCAUCAAUGCUUUGAGCAGUGCAGGUUAUGAUAAACCCGGAUCCCAAAAAGUUUAUAUUCAAUCCACUAAUAGCUCUGUACUGCUAAAGUUCAAAGAGAAAACCAGUUACGAGCUUGUGUACAAGAUUGACGAGAUUGUGGGUGAUGCUGCAUCAGCAGCUGUUGAGGAUAUCAAGAAAUUUGCCAGUGCUGUGAUUGUCAGCAAGGACUCUGUAUUUUCUAAUAAUGAUAAAUUCCUAACAAGCACUACGAAAAUCGUGCCAAAGCUAAACGCUGCAAACCUCUCAGUUUUUGUAGAGACAUUCAGCAAUGAGUUUGUUUCUCAAUCAUGGGAUUUCUUCUCAGAUGCAACUGUUGAGAUAAACUCAUAUUUAAAUGCUGAGGGCGUAAAAAUUGAUGGUAUCAUCACUGACUUCCCUAAAACUGCCGACAGAUACAGAAGUAAGUGCUGGCAAAUUCGGCUGUACCAUGUAGUCGUUUUUUGUGAACCUCUUCAUUACUAAAAUGUUUUUUCUCCAUUUUACUGCAGGGAACAAAUGCUUAAAUUUGGGUGACAAGAAACCUACUUACAUGGACCCUGUUCAACCAGGUGGUCUUUUUGGACUGAUUACCCCAGGUUUCUUGCCUCCAACUGAAGCUCCACUCCCACCCUUGACAGAAUCUGAAGUUGCAGAGCCAGCUUUGCCUCCUGUUGUUAAAAUAGCCCCAGCUUCCAGCCCCACUGCUGGAACCAAAGCGCCACCAGGAAAUGCACAGCCUAAGGUUGCUGUCUGCUUCUUCUUUUCCUCUCUGGCUGUGUUCAUAGCUUCCCUUCUUCUGCUCUGAGCAAAAUCAUCUUUAAGCUUCCUUCUAAGAAAAAACAAAAAAGAAAAGAGAAAAGGUUGUUUUUGCCGGUUUCAACCCUGUGUUUGCACAUCUCUUCUAGGAUUGAGUGGCAUGAAACUUUUGGCUUCAGAUUGACUGCAUGAACAAUCCACAUUUUUUUUGUUCUUCUUAAAAGGAGCAAAUUCUUUGAAUCUUAUUUGUUGUAGUUAUGAUUGUCCAUUCUUAGUUCCCCAAUUGCUUCUCGGGAUUAUACUGUGACCACAAGCUCUCGUGGUAUAUAUCUAUGAAUUCUUUUUAGAUGUGUAUUUUGUAUCUCUUGUUGUAAGAUAUAUUUAUACUUUUAUGCAUUUGUUAUUUAUUACUCUCCUCAUCCUACAUGCAACUUACAGAAAUCACAGCAUUCUCGAAUACAAAACAUAGUAAUUGUUUGAAUGGUGUUCAGUUUAAUUGAAGGCACAUCAAUAGGUGUUGCAACUGCAGAAAGUGGAAAAUGAGUAAAACGCACUCUUAGCAGAAUAAAAUAAUCAUAAUAUACUAUGUUCCAAUACAACAGGAAAAACCCACUAGAGUUACCUUAACAAAGGAUUUGUAUAACAUAAGAUCUUAAAUUCAAAUUUUGUUGUUGCUAAGAGAAAAAUAAACAAUAGCAUGAAUACUUUUAAUUUAUAAAGCGUGUAUUUUUUAUUUAUUUACAGGAAUUAAGUACAAAUAUCAGAAGAUUUACAAUUAUGCACUAUUUAAGUUAUACAUGCACCUAAUGAAUGCAUUUAACUUGACUCACAAUGAGUGACAUAACUCACAAUGAGUGGCAGAAGAUGGUGAACUUGACAAUCCCAAGCAAACAACUAGACACUUCCCGUUCAAAAUCCUAACUAGAAAUAAAUAUAUUUCAUAUUAUAAGUGGAUGCAAACAUCACUUAUAAGUCGAUUUAUAAAGUUAAGUUAGACUUAAAGUUCAUGUCUUAAUAUAAUAUUAGAGUCAUUUAGAAUCUAUUCAAGAGUUGUUGGACUUAUUAAGUCAUCUUCUAUUAGACUACCUAUAAUAUAUAGUCUUAUGCACGAGUCUGUAAGUUUUGAGAAUGAAUGGGUUGGAGAUGUCACAUUAACUAGACAUAAGAGUAUUUCAUAAUAUAUAAAUGAGUACAAACUUCAUCUUAUAAGCUGAUUUUUUAAGAUUGAGUUAUUAUUUAAUUUUCUUAUUUUUAUGUAAUACGAGAACUUUACUAAAUUGGUUUCUAAGAAAAGAUGCCAAAAGAGAAUAAGUUAAAGGUAAGACCAAGAAAUCCAAGUUUGUAUUUGCUUGAUGAGAAUUGAUCCAUUGGUUUUGUCUUGUCAAUAGGUUCAAAAACAAAUACAUGAACUCAAUAUCAUGCAACCAAGUUGUUCCUGCCUUCAUUUUUACAGUUUCUUCUCACAUCCCCUAUUUCUUACUUUUUAUUUCAUUGAUAUUUUUUUAGUUGGGAAUGAGUGAUCUAGAAAAACUUCAUAUAAUAAAAUUUGAAAGAUAUUUAUAGAUCCAAAAAUAUUUUUAAAUUCAUUUUUUUCGAAAACCAGAUAGAUAUGUAAAUUACAAAAAAUAAAACCAGAUAAAUAUUUUCAAUGUAUAUUAAAAAAACAUUUUAAAUUGUAUAAUCCAUUUCUAUAUCUAGAUAUAUCUUUCAAAUUCUACAAUUCAAAAUAUAUAAAUGAAAAAUAAAUAUGAAGGACCUGAUUGUUUGUUAAGAGUUUAAUCCUAAAUGUAAAGAACAAAAUCUUGUACAUUAGUUUGAAUUCUCUGAUCCUAGAGUGAAGGAGUUCUUCAAAUGAAGCAAGGCAAAACUGUCAUAAAAAAAAGAGAAUGAAAAAAGAAACCUCAAAUAGUUAAGUAGUAUAAGGUUUUUUUGAAAUAGUCUUGGUCUCAGAAACUGUUUUGAAACUUUAGAUGAAGUGACUGCAAGACAAUGAUCUGUUAUAUUAACAAGACAAACUGAGAAUUUAAUGUAUGGGAGUGGGGCCAGAACAUCAUCGUAAUUCAAAUUCAUGCACAUUUAUGAGAAACUAGUGUUAUUAAAGAAACAAAAUCAAAAGUUGUUGUUUUAUGAAAUGAACACACCAGUCAAAUCUCUCUCCAUAGUGUAUACAAGUAAAGUCUUGGUCUUUUAUCAUUCAUAUCUUUUUAGCCCAAUGAUUUGCUUAUAAAAUUUUGUAAUAAAAAAAUAAAAAUGACUAAUAUCAACAGUUUAGAUAACAGGUUAAUGAUAAAUAAUUUAGAGUUUAUUAAGAAGACAAGAGAUCACUGUCUUGGUGUGACAUCUCGAGCUUCCAAACAUUUGUUGUGGCCAAGACUAUUUCAAAACACCUUAUAUACUUUAUUACUUGAGGUUCCUCUCAUUCAUACUUUUCUUCUCUCUUCCAAUUUUUUUCUUGGAAAAUUAAUAUUUGGACACCUCUCUAAAAAAAAUAUACCCACUUCACAACACACUUUAAUAAUAUAAUAAUGUAUAAGUACAACUUAAAGAUACUAACACGAACACUGAUACGAUAUGGACACAGACACGAAAAUACAUAUAAUAUCUCAAAUGUAAGACACGGAAGGACACAGAGACACAAAUAUAUAUAUUAUAUAAUUAUAAAUUAUAUAAAUCGAUAAUAAAGAUUUAUGUGCACAAGUAUAUUUCAGAUUAUUUUUUUGGAGCAGAAAAAAGUUUUUCAUGACUGGUUCAAAAUAAUUUGUUUCUUAUUUUUAUAAUCAUAAUAAAAAAUUAUAUAAUAAAUUUGAAUUUUUAGAAAAUUAAUGUAUUGUUCUCUUUUAAAAUUAUGUUAGAAUCUUACUAGAAUUUUGUCAGAAAUCCAACAAAAAAUACUUUUUGAAUUGAACACGGAUACAUACCUUACAAUAAUAUGUAUAAAUAUAAACUUAUUAUUCCUUCAUUUAUUCAAGCUAUGUCUAAUCAAAUCGCAGUCGCAAUUCAGGGUCCCACGUGUCCUUCCACGAUGGACACCACUUAGUCACGCACACCCUCGCCGUUUUGUGUGUUUUCUCAAUCCACUCCCUUGGACCAACCACGAUACGCCACGUGUCAUUUCCUUUUAUUUUAUUUGAUUUUUCAACACAAUAAUAUUAAAUAUAAUUACAUAAUAUAUAAAUGUAAGUUCAGCUGAGCUUCUGAGUUAAGAGCGCAGUGUCACACACAUACAAACACUUACUCUCUUCUCUUUGAUUUUCUGAGGUGGUUGGCUUCUUCAGUUCCAACUUUGCCGGGAUGUGGAAUCCACGCGCUCUUUCCGCCGUCCUUCUUCUUCACUCUCUUAUUGCUAUCGUAUCUGCUCAGAUAUCUGCUUGGAAAACACUCAAUGGUCAAAAAUUUCUCACUCAUUCUAUUUUCUCAACCUAUAUCAACUAACUUUCUACCAUGCGUUUCUUUUCUCUCAACUUUCAUUGCUUUCUUUCAGCUGAGUUCGGAUUAUUAACAAUUGUUACCCAAAGUUUUGGCUCAGCUUAUGUUAUAUACUCGUGUUUAACCACAUGUGAAAUUUCUAACAAUUCCUUAAACGACCGUACAUGUCAAGUAUUAAGACAUCUUCCAGUGGCGGAUAAUGGUCCAAGGGUGACUGACUUCAUAACCUUACCAAAAAUUGUUCAUAUAAGUUUUGAAACUAUUUUGGAAUUUGGAUUUAGGCUUAACUCAGCAGAAUACUCUUUUCUAGCCAUAUCACAUCACUUGUGAAAGUGGGAUUUUCAGCAUUAAUGAUUUUUUUGCUUGCAAACUUGAGGUUGUCGAUGUAACGUCAAAGGUUGUUGCCACUUUUUUUCACUGUGCAAGGUGUUUUGAAACUUGUGUUCUUGUUUCGCAGGAGGUCCCCCGUUGGUUGUGGCACGUGGUGGAUUUUCAGGGAUUUUUCCUGAUUCCAGUGAUAGUGCCUAUAGUUUGGCAGUAAUAACGACUGGGCCGGAUGUGUAUGUAUCGUGUGAUGUGCAGUUAACAAAAGAUGCAGUUGGGAUUUGCCUACCAGACAUAAACCUUGCAAAUUCUACUUACAUUGCCUCCAGAUACCCAAAUGAAACCACAAGUUACUUGGUUAAUGGAGUACCCAUCAGGGGCUAUUUUUCUCUGGAUUACACCAUGAAGCAGCUAAACAGUGUCUUCUGUGAGUUUAAUUUAUUUAAAAGACGUAGUUUUAUUUGAUGGACUAAGUGAUUCUUUUCUACAGUGAAUGUGUGUUGCUGAUGUGAGGUCUAGCAUCUAAUGCAGGAUCUUUUUUAACUUCUCUCUCCCAGUUUGCGAAUGAGCUUUGAUGUUGUUGUUUUACAUAGUUCCUCACUGUUUUCUGUUUCUGGACAGUAACUCAGGGAGUAUAUUCUCGAACCAACCGGUUUGAUGGCGUUGGUUUUCAAAUUCUUACUGUUGAUGGUUUGGUUACACUUAAUCAAAAACCAAAAGGAAUAUGGUUGAAUAUUCAGGUAAAUGGAAUGAACGCAUAAUCCAUUCUCAUGAUUCAGUCUUCUUGUUUCUUUCAAAACUAACUCUUGUUUUCUCUGAUAUUUUAAAGCAUGAUACAUUCUACGCACAGCACAAUUUGAGCAUGAGAAGCUUUGUGAUUUCAGCUUCUAAAAGAAUAAUUUUCAGUUAUAUCUCUUCACCGGAGGUUAAUUUUCUGAGAGGUAUAUCUUCACGCUUGAACCUAAAAACAACAAAACUUGUCUUCCGGUUUAUGGAUAAGGAUGAGUUGGAACCAUCAAUCAAUCAGACUUAUGGAUCGCUUUUAAAGAAUCUUACAUUUAUCAAGACAUUUGCUUCUGGAAUUCUUGUUCCAAAGGGAUACAUAUGGCCAGUAGAUGGAAGUCUUUAUCUACAACCACAUACAUCUUUGGUCUCGGAUGCACAUAAAGUGGGGCUAGAAGUUUUUGGAUCAGAUUUUGUGAAUGAUGUUCCAUCUAGCUUCAAUUACAGUUAUGAUCCACUUACUGAGUACCUCCAGUUCAUAGACAACGGUGACUUCUCUGUUGAUGGUGUGCUGUCUGAUUUCCCCGUUACUCCAUUUGAAGCUAUAGGUAAGUUUCUUUAUUUUUCUCCCAUAUUGUCAGAAUAGCCUGUUACAAUUAGAAUACAUUUGAUCUGAUCAAAAUCCUGUUUACGUAGGUUGUUUUAUGGAUAGAAGAUAUUAGAGGAGAGCAAAAAGUAUUUGUUUUAUGUAAACAUUCUAACUAUUUGAGAAUUUCUAAAGAUAACAGAACUUGAAGAAUAAAAUCAGAGAUUAUCAUGUAAAUUACCAAUCAUCAUCACUUCUUCUGUUUUCUAACACUUUUAUAUGUUUCUAAAUUUAGAAAUGAAAAAUCUGCUGUCCUCCCCUCCCCUUCAAUAUAUUUCACAGAUACAUAGGGUCUGUUUGGAUGAAUCUUUUCCAUAAGUACUUUUAGGAGAUAAAAAAUGAAAUUAACUUCUGUAUAACCUAAGCUUAGCUUAUUCACGAGUUAAAAAGUCAGAUUUUGAAGUUAAUAGGAAAUAACUUCUAUAAAUUAAUUCACGUGUAAGUUAAUUUUAACUGAUGAAAUUUCCCUAAAAUGAGACAUAAGCAUGUGCUCCAUAUUAGCUGCUUCUGCAUUCUGCAUACUCAUAAAUUAUAACCUCAAAACAUGUCUUUAUGCUUGCGUUCACAAUUCCUGUUUCCUCUCUUAAGUAGAUAUUCACUUGUCUUCUUGUUAUGCAGGUUGCUUUUCUCACUUAGGCACCAAUGCUACGAAACAAGGUAUACUUAGUUAUAAUUUUGGAAUAUGUAUUCUCAUCUUGUUCUUUAGCGAUUUCUAGUGUUUUUAUUGUUUGAGGAUUUGAUGGAACCAAAGCUUGCACCAUUAUUGAUUUGUUUCUUUAAAUUUUUUUAUCAUGGUUCAGAUAAAACUUUGAUUAUUUCAAAAUAUGGAGCAAGUGGGGAUUAUCCUGCUUGUACCAACUUAGCAUAUGAUAAGGCCAUAGCUGAUGGUGUGGAUGUUCUUGACUGUCCGGUUCAAAUGUCAAAGGAUGGAACACCAUUUUGCUUAAACUCCAUUGACCUUAUAGAGGGUACGGCAGUUGCCAAAUCAAACUUCAGCAAAUUUGGCAUGACUAUCCCUGAGAUCAAAACUGGCAGUGGCAUAUUUGCAUUCAACCUCACUUGGAAUGAAAUAAAAACUUUGACCCGUAAGUGAUCUUAAGUUCUGUAGCCGUUUGCUAUUCAAUUAGGUAAAAUGUUCUUCUAUAUUUCUGUAUUUGCAUGGAGUUAAUCCAGACUAGUCAAAGCUUAGUUGACUGAUACUUUGAAUUAGCCAAAAUUUAGAAUGAGAUAUAUGCACAUUGAUACAAGUCCUGUGUUGGGAACAAAGAGGAAAUUAGCUUAUAUAUUCCCCUUCAUAUUGGUGCCUUUCACUUGGCUGCUGCCAGAAAAUGUUACAACAAAUAUUUGACAUAUUUUUCUCUUCUCUAUCUGCCCUGCAGCCUC